rnacentral:rRNA from 1 species
AACGUAGGAGACAAACGUUAUCCGGAGUUACUGGGCGUAAAGGGCGUGCAGGUGGUCUGUUAAGUCUGGCGUGAAAGCUCCUGGCUAAACCGGGAGAGGUCGUUGGAUACUGGCGGACUAGAGGACGGUAGAGGCGUGUGGAAUUCCUGGUGUAGCGGUGAAAUGCGCAGAUAUCAGGAAGAACACCCGUGGCGAAGGCGGCUCUCUGGGACGGUACUGACGCUGAGACGCGAAAGCGUGGGGAGCGAACAGG